AUGAUGUGGUUAAUUCGAUGCAACGCGAAAACCUUACCACCUUUGACAUGGCAGGAAGUUACCAGAGAUGGUUUCGUGCUCGAAAGAGAACCUGCACACAGGUGCUGCAUGGCUGUCGUCAGCUCGUGUCGUGAGAUGUUGGGUUAAGUCCCGCAACGAGCGCAACCCUUGCCAUCAGUUGCUACGAAAGGGCACUCUGAUGGGACUGCCGGUGACAAACCGGAGGAAGGUGGGGAUGACGUCAAGUCCUCAUGGCCCUUAUAGGUGGGGCUACACACGUCAUACAAUGGCCGGUACAAAGGGCAGCCAACCCGCGAGGGGGAGCCAAUCCCAUAAAGCCGGUCGUAGUCCGGAUCGCAGUCUGCAACUCGACUGCGUGAAGUCGGAAUCGCUAGUAAUCGUGGAUCAGCAUGUCACGGUGAAUACGUUCCCGGGCCUU
rnacentral:rRNA from 1 species